CAAUGUGUCUGUAAGCCUUCAUGAGGGAUCAAUGGAUCAACAUGGUUAUGAUCAAUGUGCAGGUCAGUAUUCUCAUUCUAAAUCUAUGCAGAAAUGGGCUACUAAAGAUGUAGGUCAGGCUCUAGUAUCUAACAGUCAACUGGAGCAACUCAGUGGAAAUGCAACAUUCACUAAGGAACAAUAUGAGAAAAUCUUGCAAAUGAUCAACAAAAGCAACUUAGGCAACACG
rnacentral:lncRNA from 1 species